rnacentral:rRNA from 1 species
UUUAGCCUACGGGGCGCAGCAGUGAGGAAUAUUGGUCAAUGGGCGGGAGCCUGAACCAGCCAAGUCGCGUGAAGGAAGAAGGUACUUAGUAUUGUAAACUUCUUUUGUCGGGGAACAAAGGCGGAGACGCGUCUCCGGAUGAGUGUACCCGAAGAAAAAGCAUCGGCUAACUCCGUGCCAGCAGCCGCGGUAAUACGGAGGGUGCGAGCGUUAAUCGGAAUUACUGGGCGUAAAGCGCUCGUAGGCGGUAUGUCAAGUCAAGGGUGAAAUCCCCGCGCUCAACGUGGGAACUGCCUUUGAAACUG